GCGUGGGAACGUACCCUUUGGUUCGGAACAACUCAGGGAAACUUGAGCUAAUACCGGAUAAGUGCGAGAGCAGAAAGAUUUAUCGCCGAAGGAUCGGCCCGCGUCUGAUUAGCUAGUUGGUGAGGUAAUGGCUCACCAAGGCGACGAUCAGUAGCUGGUCUGAGAGGAUGAUCAGCCACAUUGGGACUGAGACACGGCCCAAACUCCUACGGGAGGCAGCAGUGGGGAAUUUUCCGCAAUGGGCGAAAGCCUGACGGAGCAACGCCGCGUGAGGGAGGAAUGUCUUUGGAUUGUAAACCU
rnacentral:rRNA from 2 species